rnacentral:misc_RNA from 1 species
GAUGAAGAACGCAACGAAAUGCGAUAAGUAAUGUGAAUUGCAGAAUUCAGUGAAUCAUCGAAUCUUUGAACGCACAUUGCGCCCGCCAGUAUUCUGGCGGGCAUGCCUGUCUGAGCGUCAUUUCAACCCUCAUGCCCCUAGGGCGUGGUGUUGGGGAUCGGCCAAAGCCCGCGAGGGACGGCCGGCCCCUAAAUCUAGUGGCGGACCCGUCGUGGCCUCCUCUGCGAAGUAGUGAUAUUCCGCAUCGGAGAGCGAUGAGCCCCUGCCGUUAAACCCCCAACUUUCCAAGGUUGACCUCAGAUCAGGUAGGAAUACCCGCUGAACUUAAGCAUAUCAAUAAGCGGAGGA